rnacentral:misc_RNA from 1 species
UAUGUCAAUCUUAAUUUACAGUGGAAAGUAAAAGGCGAUGGGUGUGUUGCUUUGUGUUUAUUUCUUGUUUUAGAUAGAAUGAAUUAGUUAAAAAGAAAAUUAAUUAUUAGUAAAUCCUACGUUAUUUAUAUCACUUCAGUUAAAAGAUUACGCCAUUGUAAAUAUCAUCGUAGCAGCAGAUUGUUGUUUUGAUUUGAUCAAUGGUUGUGUUACUGAUUAUAACAAAAACAAAGUAUAAAAACAAUUGAAGAAAUUAGUUAGCUUAAUGUGUGUGAUAAGUGAUGUUUGCUGUUUACUGUGCUUACAAAGCUCAUAACAAACCCGCGAGUGCUUAAUCAUCGGAUAAAAGUUAACGAUAAUGGCUUUCGUAAAUAAAUCCUGUGUACAUAAACAUGGAAGUGGAUAUUGAGCGUGCUAGUGUUCGAAUUUCAAAAUCACGAUGUCGUCGUCGCCGUGCCAAAAAGGCGGGAUGCGCCUCAGUGAAGCGUUGGAUAAUAUGCAACUUGCUUACAACCCAAUCACGAAACAGUUGCAUUUCGUGAGCCCUAAAGUGGAGAAACCAGUCGAGGAUACGUCUGAUGAUAUUGAUAAGCUGUCUAAGAAGAGCAGUUUUAGUGACGAAGGUAACUUUUCUAUCUCUACUUGUGAGAAAAGUGAUACAAGUGAUUCUCCCAAGAGUACUCUGCAGUGGGGCAGUGUGAGUGGUCACCAUCGUGGCAAGGAUGGUGGUUCGUUCUCAAGUACUGUCUCAAGUCUCUCCGAGUGCUCCCUCGGGUCUGCUGCGUCGAAGGAUGAUGAAGUUCCUGAUGUCAAUUCUCAAGACCAGGAAAAUUCUAAGCUGAAGAAGAAGGGAUUGUCCGGAUUUUUCAGCAGAGGAGUGUUUCCAUGGAAGAGCAAUUCUUCGAAGAACAACGAGUCAUCACCAUCUUCAGUGGUAUCUUGGAGACUUUUCGGCAGCAAGUCAAGUGGUAACCUGGCUGCAAAGACAUUGAAUUCUGAAGCUCAGAAGACCUUGACACCAGCGUCUUCAGGAGCCAAUACUCCUCAUCACCACAAGAGGCAAGGGAGUUCGGCGAGUGAGAAGCAGUUUGAAGAUCUGGUGGCCAGCUCUAUUGCUCUUAUACAGCAUGAUAGGCCAUCAAACCUACCAGCCAAAUGUACAGAGGAAGCUCUCCGCCACAAAGCAGAACACGCCAGAAUGGUGGAGGCUGCCAGAAGACGAGUGGAACGGGAGGCAGCUGCCAGACACGCCAGGAUGCAGGAAUCACUACGCCUGGAAGAGAGGCUGGCGAGGCACGCGAAGGAAUGGACCCAGAACAUUCUGCCGGAUUGGAAUAACACGAAAAAUUCAAAACGCACGCUAGAAUUAUGGUGGAGCGGGCUUCCCCCAGCGGUCCGAGGCAAAGUAUGGCAACUAGCCAUCGAGAACAAACUCAAGAUCACACACGAAAUGUACCAAGACUACGUAGCCAAAGCCAAGCAGAGGCUACACGAAGCACAACUACGAAGGAAGAGGUUAAAAGUCAACAGAAACGACACAUGCAGCUGCCAGAAAGAAAAUAAAGAGAAAGUUGCCGAACAAAUUGAAAAACACGCGAAAAUCGACGAUAUUUUAGCCAAAACUGAUGAUAGAAUCAAAUCUGAAGAGGAAAAACCUAGAUUAGGUAUACCUAGGAACUUUAGUGAACAGAAUUUAAAGUCUCAAUCUACGGAGUCUGGUCCUAAGAAGUGCUGUUCGAAAUCCAACCCUAAUCUGUUAGAUUAUAGUGACGAAUGUUCGAUGGAGUUGAUACAACUGGACAUUGCUAGGACAUUCCCACAUUUGUGCAUCUUUCAACCGGGAGGACCGUACUUUGAUGUGCUACAUGAACUUUUGGCGGCGUACGUCUGCUAUAGGCCUGAUAUUGGAUAUGUUCAGGGCAUGUCAUUCAUAGCAGCGGUAUUAAUCUUGAACAUGGAGGCGCCGCAAGCGUUCGUGUGCUUCGCCAACUUGCUAGACGGACCUGUGCUGAGAGCUGCUUUUACUAGAGACGGGGCUACUAUGCAGCGACUAUGGAAAGCCUACGGCAAGCUAGUAGCCCACCACCUCCCGUGGCUGGGCAGCCGCCUGGCGCCGGAGCUGUACCUGGUGGAGUGGCUGUACACGGCGUUCGCCAAGGCCAUGCCGCUCGACGCCGCCUGCCGCGUGUGGGACGUGCUGCUCAGGGACGGAGACACGUUCCUCUUCAACACUGCUCUGGGCGUCCUCCACUUAUACCAAGAGGAGCUCAAAGACAUGGACUUCAUAUCCGCCGCUCAGUUCCUCACUAAGCUACCCGAGGACCUGGACACUGAAGCUCUAUUCAAGAGCAUAUCUGCCGUCUCCCUAACCCUGGACGGCAUGUCGUUCGAAGAGCUGGCUUCUUGCUGCGAAGACGACACGACCUUGGAUGACGAUGUGACGGUAAGGUUAUGAUAUAGGAGACGUAUUGAAGCCUUUUGGGACAUUGUUGAUGCGUUAUCUUUUAGGGUAAAGUUGUAAUUCGAAUGCAAAGAAAGUAAGUAGGAAAUAAUGGUCUAUAUAUACUGGAAAGGCAUGACAAAGGAGUUUGCCACUGAUGAGUACAGAUUUGGAUACUAUAGGAUUAAGACUACCUAUUAGCAGAUGUUUACAAGAAAUGCGGUAGAAAAUGUCGAAUCACCGAUGUAAAACAAUGAAAUCUAUGUCGUAUUGGUACGCGAAAAGAUUGAGUAUCCUUUGGCAAAAGUUUUAAUCCUUUGCCAUGCCGUCCCGGUGUGUGUAGACCAUAUUGACAUUUUCAAACAAAAUUACGAAUGUUGCCAGGUUAAAAUGUUGUCAACACGACAAUAUCCAUUGCGGUGUAUGUGUUGAAUAUCACUUGCUCAGUGACAAAACAAUGCAAUGGCUCUUGUUAUACUGUCAAAAUGUAAAUGUGUUGUGUUGGCAAAAUUAUAUAUAUAUAAUUUGGAACGUUGGUCACACAAUACCUUUUAAUGCGGUUUUUGGAAAAAUAUAAACUACUUUAGUACCUAAUACAAGAAUUUUGUAAGAGAAUACGAAUGUCACAAUGUCCCCUAGUGCUGUUUGGAUGUUUAAAGCUAAUUCUUGCUUAAAAAUUUAAAAAGUAGUGCUUGUAUAGUCUAUGUCAUUUCAUGUCGAUGUUUUGAGAAAAUGUUUAGUGUAUUCAACAUUUGUCUUGUACCGAAAUAUCGUGUCCUAAUUUAUAAAACAGUUUAUAUAAGUUAUUUUAUGAUAUCUUAUAUAAUUGCGAAAUGUAUAUAAAAUUAGAUGUUAUUUUGAUUUUGUUAUCGAAUUAAGGUUUUUUAUAUUUAAUAUUUUUAAUGAUUUAUUUCAAUUUGAUUCGAAUUUAAAUGGAAUAUAAAGCACACGACUGGUCGUAGUGUAAUUGUAAAUAUAGCGUUGUUGUACUCAAGUAUCAUGAAUCGAUCAUAGAGACUGCCUAGUACCUAUCGUCUCCGAAUUUAUCGAUAUCGAUAUUUAUCGAUGUACCGCGACGUACGCUGUGAUUUUUGAUAAUAUAAAUAAAAUCACUGUUGUCUAUAUGUUAUUUGCGUAACAAACAUAUCAUAUAUACAUUCGAUUUGUAUUAGUCAUUUGAAGUUCUGAACAUUAGCGGUUGUGCUGGAACUUUAGCUGGGCAAUGACGUCACAAUACUUCGAUAUUUUACUGAUAUUAUAUAGAAAUUCAUCUUGUUAAGUAAAAAAAAAACUCACAGUAAAAUCUAGUAUUUUCUGUACAGUAGAAUAAACAGACUUUGUAGGCGGUUUCUAAGAACCCUUGCCCACGGUUUAUCUAUUCAAAUAGAUAAACUGUCGACAAAAUCACUAAGAAACCGACUAUAAAUAAAUUAAUAAUAUACUAGAGAAAUUAAAAAAAUAUGUUGUCAGCAAAAUAUUGAGUUGCCAAACAGAUUUAUUUUCAUAUCUGUGACAAUACUGCUUACAUAUCUUCAACGUUCACACGUUUGUUUUGUCAUACAUAUGAAAAGAAUCUCAGAUCGCGGCCAUACGCACAGUGUUUAACGCAACA